UGAUGACGAUGAUGAUGAUGAUGAUGAUGAUGAUGAUGACGACGAUGACGACGAUGAUGAUCAUGAAGAGUUAUGAGCACUCUGGGGAAAUUGAACUGGCCCAUCUGAAGUCCAACUGUCCGAAGUCCUUCGUACAGUACACUAGAUAUGAACUUGGGGACUGCAGAAGCAUUGAUUUGAGAGAGAGAAAGAACAAAAAACCAAUUUCACACAAACCAAGCCUGACUUGGGAAUCAGUCAUUGGGGUCACUAGUCUGAGAUCGUUUGAUUUGUGUUUCGUUUGAAAGAAUGGUUCCUCCACUAGGAUCUUCCUUUCUCAUUUGUUUUGGAUCAGAUUGACCUGCAUUUGUGUCUUUAUGUGAACCUACAGAGAAAGAAAGAGAGACAGUGAUAUUGGGGGUGGGUUAGUGGUGCUGCAGAAAAAGACAGAGGGAGAAUAAAGCGCGAGGGGAGGUGCAGGAGGGCAACUACCCAAAUACAUUCAUUUAAACAGAUGUAAAGUUUCUCUCUUUCUCCAUAUCUCUCAAUCUCUUUCUUUCUCUGUGGAGCAUUUAUGCUGCUGUCUGUUAAAGAGGCAUGUAAUGCACAGAAUUUGUUUUUCAAGCCUGGUGUGUGCAUUUGUAAAAUUGCUACAGAUAAGAUAAUAGAAUUCUUUCAAUGUUUCUAUGAACAGUGUUAUAAUCAUACCUCUUUUUAUUUUCUAAAACGCUGAUGUUCUGAACCAUUAGAUACAAUAAUAACGUUUAAUGCACAUGUCAGUAGCUUACAUUAAUGAUCAACAUUUGUUUUGGGUAUUAUGUAAUUUUCCCCUUACUAUUUAAUGCUUAGAUGGCAUUGAUAUCUUUUCAUUUAAUACAAAUAUUUUGAAUCAUUUGUGAAACUGAACAAAUGUAUAACUCCUCAUUUGUCAUGAAAUGUUACAACAGUGGAUUUGCUGAUUUUCAGACCUUCAGGGAAAGAGUGUUUGGGAAAAGAGAGAAACGUCUCUUUCUAAAGAGGAAGUCAAAGAGCCAAAGCUCUGUCAAAUGUUAAAUUGUCAAGAGAUGAAAUGGUUGACUGCUUUUUUCUCUUAUUUGGAAAAAAUGGGAUUUUGUGAUGACUGUGAACAUUUUUGUGUGGAAAAUAUGUCCAUAUGUCUUUAACCCUACUUUCAUUCAUUAAAUAAAUCAAAUGAUCAUAAACUGCCUAUAUGCAAAUCUGUUACCAAAGGCAGAGGACUUGUAUUAGAGCUGUAAAAAUACACAAAGAACAUCAUGACGUUUAUCAGAGACCUGUAAAAAUGAAUUUACCUGUAUGAUGACCAGAAUGCAGAGCUACAGACAUUGAAACUUAUGAUGAUGAUGAUGAUGAUGAUGAUGAAGAUGACGACGAUGAUGAUGACGACGAUGGUGCUUAUCACACAGGCUCUGUGUGCUCCUAUUGUGAAUUCUGUGAGCACUGUGACAGCUGUGACAAAUGUCCAUGUGAAGAGGGAGACAAGUCUGAACACUGCGAUGACUGCAAGGUGAGAAAAUACAUAUUACUGAUUGUGAAAUUUGACCAACUCUCCUCUUACUCCAAAGGAAAUGGAAAUCUUUAAAGCAUCAAAGCUUUAU